rnacentral:misc_RNA from 1 species
AAUUCUCAACCUCCCUCACUUUGUUGUGAGCUGGCGGAUUGGAUGUGGGGGCUUGCUGGAGCUCUAGUGGCUUCAGCUCCUCUGAAAUGCAUUAGCGGAAUCCUCCUUGAAUUAGGGGCUUGCUGCAGCUGUGAUAAUAUCUAUGGCUGUUGGCUCGAGCGAUGCUUAUAGGGUUUGAAGGGAUGCCUCUGGCGCCUUUUGCUUUCUCUUCUUGAGAUAACUAUCCUUAGCGGUCGUGACCUUCUAUUCGAGUUGGCUAGUUCAGCUUCUAACCGUCUCUUUACUGAGACAAUUCUUGACC